UACGUAGGAUGCAAGCGUUGUCCGGUUUUAUUGGGAUUAAAGGGUGCGUAGGCGGCCCAUUAAGUUAGUGGUGAAAACGUUCGGCUUAACCGGAUACCCGCCAUUGAUACUGAUAGACUUGAGUGCGACAGAGGGUGUUGGAAUGUGUGGUGUAGCGGUGAAAUGCUUAGAUAUCACGCAGAACACCAAUUGCGAAGGCAGAUGCCUAUGUCGUAACUGACGCUGAGGCACGAAAGCGUGUGGAGCAAACAGG
rnacentral:rRNA from 1 species